UUUCCGUACGUGAACCUGCGGAAGGAUCAUUGUCGAAACCCCSAASGUACAACCCGMGCACGCGUAUAUUAACUAACGGGGGACGGGGGGACGGGCGGACUCACCGUCGCCUCCUCCUCUUCCCCCGUSUGUCGGGCCGGCCCCRCCCCCACGCGAGCGGUCCGCUYCGGCCGCCGUUCGUGGCUCGGCAGCACCAUGUCCGGCGGASACCACCGAAACCCGGGCGCAGGACGCGCCAAGGAAAAUGGACAUAGAGCGAUCACCGYGCCUUCCCCUAGCGCUCGAUCCGUCGGCGCGGGGAAGGCGGUGUCGUCAUCGGCAAAUAUGACUCUAGGCAACGGAUAUCUCGGCUCUCGCAUAGAUGAAGAACGUAGCGAAAUGCGAUACUUGGUGUGAAUUGCAGAAUCCCGUGAACUAUCGAGUCUUUGAACGCAAGUUGCGCCCGAGGCCAUGAAGCCCGAGGGCAGGUCUGUCUGGGCGUCGCACGUCGCGUCACCUGCCAUCCAUCCUCGCUCGAGGGGGAGGUGGAUUAUGGCCUCCCGUGCCUCGGGACAGAGGCGCGGUUGGCCCAUAUCGGAAGCCGGGGCGACGGAUGCCGUGACAAUGGGUGGUAUCGCYAAAGCRGUUACGACAACUUGUCGCGUCCCCUCUGCCAGAACUAGCUUGGCCCGAGSNGKUUGUGCAGUCCUCUUGGAGGCACURUAUGGCGACCCCAGAUCGNUGUGGAUUACAC
rnacentral:rRNA from 1 species